UUUGAAGCGGUUGUGACAAAGGUAACUUUAAUGUCUCUAAUGUCAUUUAUAUCCUAUUCGCACAAAAGAAGUUUUCGCUUCAGCUAAUGUCAAACACAAAAUAAAAAAAAAUAUAAAUGUGCGUAACAACAAAACCCCUAAGAAAUAAAAGAAACACAACUUCUUAUCCGUAGAAUUAAGAUUUUAUUUUAUAUGAUUGUUUUUAAAUACAUUAAGUGACAUUCCAAAACUUAGAAAAAUCAUAUUAGGAAAAAAGGAAAACAUGCAAAACUCUUUAAAGAAAUUAAUUAAAAAAAGUUUUUUUAAUUAAAAAUAUAAAAUUUAAGAAAAAAUUCAAAUUUAAAAAAAAAUAUAUAACACAAAAACAUUUUUCUUGGCCCCCUUUUUUGCAUGACAUAUCCCCUGCUGGAUUUCAAGCCGUUCGAAGGCUCCUUGGCCGUCUUUCAACAAAACAUUUAUUUUAUACAGGUCGAUUUUAGUACACAUUUAUUCCGCUCUAAAACAGAUUUACAACACGGCAAAAAACAAAAUAUGUUCUGAACUUGUCAAAAAUAUUGAAUACUAGAAUGCUGAAUACACAGCUGAAGCGGAAUUCGUAAUCUGAUGCCCCGACAAUUGUCGAUAACAGCCGGAAAAUUCCGAGAAUACAAGAUAUCGGCGCGGCAAACGCCGCUUAAAGCAUUCACGCGGUAUCGCCUUCUGUCGGAUCGUGACGUGCGGCAUCGGCGUGCGGGCUUUCAUAUAAUUACAUGCAAACUUCUCUACACGAUAAAAACAGCGAGGAGCCGCACCGCCCCAGUGUGCGCACACCUUUAAGCGGAUUUUCUGUUGACAACGAUUUUUCCACAGCUAUGAAAAAAUUAAUCGUUGAUUGGAUUUCCAUUCUGGCAAGCGUAGUGAAAUAAAUUUUUCUCUAUGUAUUAUAAAUAAAACAUUCCUCGCAUACUGUUCUUUAUCUACAUCCAUUUUUGAAACAGCAAUUUAGGCGCAUUUUAAUCAUCAUCCCCUUAUAAAAGAGAAUAGCAAUAUUCAUCUUCAAGAUGAAAUCAAUUACUUGGUUUCGAGCCGAUUGGAGGCUUAAUAAGCCUGCACCAACAAUAAUUUCUUAAAAAAGCACCUUUGCAGUUAAAAUGCAUUUCAAUGCACGAAAUCCCAAAAACACAAAUCACCUAAACUGCUUGAAAAAUAAUGAGUGAAUCACUGGAUCACUGAAUCGAUUUGCCAUUUACGGCUACGAGUUGUAGCCACUUUAUAUCUGUUCUCUUUUCUAACGAGUAUUUCUUUUUGAAAAAAAUGGAAUUUGUCGAUAAAGCGAAAACCCCCUCUGUCUGAAUAGGGUACUACAGUGCCGAAGAUAUCAAAAAAGACUUUCAAGAAAUUAAUAACAAAUUGUUUUACAGUGUUAUAUAAAUUAGUGAUAUAUAUAAAAAAAAAAUCAUAAGAGUGCAGUGACUGGUUAAAAAAAACCUAAUAUAAAACAUAAAACCUAAAACUCUUACUAAAUAAACCUCGAUUACAAUGAGUCAAAACGACGUUCACACACACCGAGUAAGACGAGAGACUGCUCUCAGUACAAAAAAAACAACGCAUACUUCUCUUGUAAUGUAAGCUCUGAUCAAUUGCGGUCAAUUACCUCCAACGAAGUGCAAAAAACAACCCUACUUUAGCCAAAGAGCACGAUCUUGCUCACCAUGCCUACUUAGGGCUACCCGUCGGAGUACGGCGUGGAGCCCCCACCAUCAGUUUCGACUUGCAACGGUAAAACCGACAACGACCACAGAUAACGCUAUUAGUUCGGAAUGAACUGUAACCGCAUCUCUAAAUACAACAGCAACAAAAGCCAACAAAUCAAAACCAAAACAAAACUCAGCAAGCGGGUCCGGCCAUAAAGACCGGACUAGACCGGUGCAUCCAUACCAAGUGUAAACUCAGCCCGGAGAAUGCCGCAGUAGCAAUAGAUUUGCGCUUCUAGCAGAAACUGAAUUAGAACAUCUGAACAAAAACUAGGAAGGGCCUGCAAGUUGUACUUAAAGGAAUCGAUGCUCUCAAGGAAAAAGAAGAAAAGAGCCGCAACCACUCUUCAAGGUCGAGCUGGAGCCAGACAGCAGAGUCUUAAAGAAAAAUGAAAUGUUGGUGUACAUUUAUAACCUGCAAUACUAAGAAUUAACGUGUAAGAGUCACUUAAAUUAAACGGCCCAGUGCAAUGCACAAAUUGUAAGAAGUAUGGACACUCCAGGGAUUACUGUUCACUUCGAACAGUCUGUGUAGCUUGUGGAGACUUCCACAAUUCGGCUAACUGCCCUGCCAAUAAAGGAAACCCCCACAACCUCCGA